UGCAGAAGAUCGCCAUGGAGAUGAACUUGUCUGAAACUGCUUUCAUCAAACUUUUAGGCAAGUCGGAUAGUUUCAAGGGAAGUAAUACGUUUGGUUUGAGGUGGUUCACUACAAAAGAAGAAUUCAAAUUGUGCGGCCAUGCUACAUUGACAUCAGCAGCUGUUUUGUUUGGAAAAUUGGACAACAAACAGGACCGUAUCGUGUUUAAGACUCUGAGUGGGGAUUUGAUUGUUAAACGUGAGGGGGAGUGGAUCCACAUGGACUUCCCCGUUGGCGCCGCUGUGAAAGAGGCGUGACUUCCGUCUGCUGGUGGGCACCCCUGGCGACCCCGACAAACCGUUCCCCCACCCAGUCAUCUGGCACAGUCAGUCAACAGAAUAUGUGGGUAACAACACGUAUGUGGUAGAGUUUGAAAACCCCGAGGUGGGAUGGAGAGCCUUCUUUAUACAGCUGACGUUCCGUGGUGUCAACGACUCUGUGCUUGAGUUCACAACGGAGAGCCAGAUCAUCCCCGAUACCUUCCCCUUCCCUGACUGCAGUGGAGAAAGUUGCCGAGGGACACUUGUCUGACCAGUGAUAAUGUCAUAGUGUUUCAACUAUUUCUUGUCGACCUGUUUGCUUUGUGUUUUAUGUUUAACGCCACAGUCCGCACUAUUAUAGCGGUUUCUAGUCGACCUGUAAAUAUGCAAGCGUACAAACCAGUGACUGAAAUCAUGAGCAACAAUCCACGACAUCUUGGUGCUGUGACACGCAGCAGUCACUGAACCUGACCACUUGAACCAUCAUGGGAUCCUUGGAACAAUUACAUGUUACCAGGAACCUGUUGCUGUCUGGACCCCCACGAUGUGAUGUGUCAGUGCCAUAUACCAUGGUUGUAUUGUCCAUGGACUAGGGGUAUAUUGGAGUGUGCCAACCACAUGGUUAUCGGCCCUUUAGUCUAAACAAUCCACAUGAAAUCGUUAUCUAUUUUUAAUGUACUUAUUGUUCAAAUAAAAGUGUUGGGAAAUGGU